rnacentral:rRNA from 1 species
UUAAUAAGUAUCUUCUGAGUGGUUAAAAAAAAAAUGAAUCAAAACUUUCAACAACGGAUCUCUUGGUUCUGGCAUCGAUGAAGAACGCAGCAAAAUGCGAUAAGUAAUGUGAAUUGCAGAAUUCAGUGAAUCAUCGAAUCUUUGAACGCACAUUGCGCCCGUCAGUAUUCUGGCGGGCAU